rnacentral:snRNA from 1 species
AUACUUACCUGGCAGGGGAGAUACCAUGAUCAUGAAAGUGGUUUUCCAAGGGCAAGGCUUAUCCAUUGCACUCCAGAUGUGCUGACCCCUGUGAUUUCCCCAAAUUUGGACAACUGGACUGCAUAAUUUGUGGUAGUGGGGGACUACAUUUGCACUAUCCCCUG